UUUUGGUGAGUGGCGGACGGGUGAGUAACACGUGGGUAACCUGCCCAAAAGUGGGGGAUAACAUUUGGAAACAAGUGCUAAUACCGCAUAACAACUGCUUUCACAUGAUCGCAGCUUGAAAGAUGGCUCUGCUAUCGCUUUUGGAUGGACCCGCGGCGUAUUAGCUAGUUGGUGAGGUAAUAGCUCACCAAGGCAAUGAUACGUAGCCGACCUGAGAGGGUAAUCGGCCACAUUGGGACUGAGACACGGCCCAAACUCCUACGGGAGGCAGCAGUAGGGAAUCUUCCACAAUGGGCGAAAGCCUGAUGGAGCAAUGCCGCGUGAGUGAAGAAGGUUUUCGGAUCGUAAAACUCUGUUGUUGAAGAAGAACAUGCGUGAGAGUAACUGUUCACGUACUGACGGUAUUCAACCAGAAAGCCACGGCUAACUACGUGCCAGCAGCCGCGGUAAUACGUAG
rnacentral:rRNA from 1 species